UGCUGAAAGCAUCUAAGCACGAAACUUGCCCCGAGAUGAGUUCUCCCUGACUCCUUGAGAGUCCUGAAGGAACGUUGAAGACGACGACGUUGAUAGGCCGGGUGUGUAAGCGCAGCGAUGCGUUGAGCUAAGCGGUACUAAUGAACCGUGAGGCUUAACCUU
rnacentral:rRNA from 1 species